rnacentral:tRNA from 1 species
AAUGUAAGGUUAAUUCUUACAAAUAGUACUUGUUUAUCAAUGAUAUUUUAUUAAAUUUUUUGGGAGGUAU